GGACUACCGGGGUAUCUAAUCCUGUUUGCUCCCCACGCUUUCGCAGUUGAGUGUCAGUCACUGUCCAGGUCGCCGCCUUCGCCUCUGGUAUUCCUCCCGAUCUCUACGCAUUUCACCGCUACACCGGGAAUUCUACGACCCUCUCCAGCACUCUAGUCUCACCGUUUCUCAGGCACUUCUAGGGUUAAGCCCUAGGAUUUCACCUGAGACAAAUGAGACCACCUACCUGCCCUUUACGCCCAAUGAUUCCGAGCAACGCUUGCACCCUCUGUAUUACCGCGGCGGCUGGCAC
rnacentral:rRNA from 1 species